CCUACGGGUGGCUGCAGUGAGGAAUAUUGGUCAAUGGACGCAAGUCUGAACCAGCCAAGUCGCGUGAAGGAUGACUGCCCUAUGGGUUGUAAACUUCUUUUAUAUGGGAAUAAAACGUUCCACGUGUGGGUUUUUGUAUGUACCAUAUGAAUAAGGAUCGGCUAACUCCGUGCCAGCAGCCGCGGUAAUACGGAGGAUACGAGCGUUAUCCGGAUUUAUUGGGUUUAAAGGGAGCGUAGGUGGACUGUUAAGUCAGUUGUGAAAGUUUGCGGCUCAACCGUGAAAUUGCCGUUGAUACUGGCAGUCUUGAGUACAGUAGCGGUAGGCGGAAUGCGUGGUGUAGCGGUGAAAUGCUUAGAUAUCACGAAGAACUCCGAUUGCGAAGGCAGUUCACUAGACUACAACUGACACUGAGGCUCGAAAGUGUGGGUAUCAAACAGGAUUAGAUACCCCGGUAGUC
rnacentral:rRNA from 1 species